rnacentral:lncRNA from 1 species
UAUAAAGUACAUAUGAGCCUAGAGCUAACUCUUAGUCUUUCUCCCAAACUUAGUUAUCUUGAAAUGAUUCCUGUGUGUCACACUAUCUAUCUUAAGUAUUGUCUCUAUCCAUCUAUGGUUUAGUAAACUCUUUUGACAUACCCAUCUUUCUUUGGGAAAUACGAUACCCUUGACAACUCAAAAAUCAGGUAUAUCACGGAAUUGCAACACCCGCUUGUUUUUGCCUCAUCCUGUGCCACUGUUGUUUUUUUUAAAGAUGCACUACUAGAGAACUGACUUUAGAUCCCACCCCCUUUAGUCUCAGUUUAAUUUCGG